rnacentral:tRNA from 1 species
GGAGAGGUGACAGAGUGGCCGAAUGUGCUAGACUCGAAAUCUAGUGUCUGGGCAACUGGACCGUGGGUUCGAAUCCCACCCUCUCCGCCA